GGCUGGAGGUGGAGAAGCGGAAGCCAUGGCAACCAGGUCCUUGACUUCAGCUUUGAGUAGCCCUGUCGUCAUGACCCAAAUCCAUCUUAUUCAUCCUUUAAGUUUGAACAAAGCAGCCGUUCCUGAUGACCCCUUACACUCCAGUGAUAAUUUCUAGAAUGUUUCUUUCAACCAUUUUUGCAGUGAUUCCCCUAACAUUUCAGCUUUUUGGUUUGUACUGCAGCAGCCCUGCACUGAGCAAGUCUACUGGCGCCAUUUUUCCAACAGCAUUUGUUCACUUCAUGCCUCUGUGUCACAUUUUGAUGCGGUAGAAAUGGCAAGAGAACUAGAAUUGGAAGUGGAGCCUGAAGAUGUGACUGAACUGCUGCCAUCUCGCAAUAAAACUUUCACGGUGAGGAGUUGUUUCUUCUGGAUGAGCAAAGAAAGUGGUUUCUUGAGAUGGGAUC